rnacentral:rRNA from 1 species
UACGUAGGGGGCAAGCGUUGUCCGGAUUUAUUGGGCGUAAAGGGCGCGUAGGCGGUUUCUUAAGUUUGGAGUGACAGUGGGUGGCUUAACUACCCAAGGCCUCUGAAAACUGGGGAACUUGAGGACCAGAGAGGGACAUAGAAUUCCGGGUGGAGUGGUGAAAUGCGUAGAUAUCCGGAGGAAUACCAAAGGCGAAGGCAGUGUCCUGGAGGGUAACUGACGCUGAGGCGCGAAAGCUAGGGGAGCGAACAGG